AGAGUUUGAUCAUGGCUCAGGAUAAACGCUGGCGGCGUGCCUAACACAUGCAAGUCGAACGUCCUUGCGCAAGCGAGGGAGUGGCGGACGGGUGAGUAGCACGUGGGUAUCUACCCUGGGGUGAGGAAUACCGGCGAGAAAUCGCCGACAAUACCGCAUAAGGUCGAGGGGAACCUCGAGCAAAGGAGCAAUCCGCCCUG
rnacentral:rRNA from 1 species